rnacentral:rRNA from 1 species
AGUGAACGCUGGCGGUAGGCCUAACACAUGCAAGUCGAACGGCAGCACAGGAGAGCUUGCUCUCUGGGUGGCGAGUGGCGGACGGGUGAGGAAUACAUCGGAAUCUACUUUUUCGUGGGGGAUAACGUAGGGAAACUUACGCUAAUACCGCAUACGACCUAUGGGUGAAAGCAGGGGACCUUCGGGCCUUGCGCGAUUGAAUGAGCCGAUGUCGGAUUAGCGAGUGGGUGGGGUAAAGGCCCACCAAGGCGACGAUCCGUAGCUGGUCUGAGAGGAGGAUCAGCCACACUGGAACGGGGACACGGUCCAGACUCCUACGGGAGGCAGCAGUGGGGAAUAUUGGACAAUGGGCGCAAGCCUGAUCCAGCCAUACCGCGUGGGUGAAGAAGGCCUUCGGGUUGUAAAGCCCUUUUGUUGGGAAAGAAAUCCAGCUGGCUAAUACCCGGUUGGGAUGACGGUACCCAAAGAAUAAGCACCGGCUAACUUCGUGCCAGCCGCCGCGGUAA